CGCUAUCAUCCUACGGGAGGCAGCAGUGGGGAAUAUUGCACAAUGGGCGCAAGCCUGAUGCAGCCAUGCCGCGUGUGUGAAGAAGGCCUUCGGGUUGUAAAGCACUUUCAGUCGUGAGGAAGGUAGUGUAGUUAAUAGCUGCAUUAUUUGACGUUAGCGACAGAAGAAGCACCGGCUAACUCCGUGCCAGCAGCCGCGGUAAUACGGAGGGUGCGAGCGUUAAUCGGAAUUACUGGGCGUAAAGCGCAUGCAGGCGGCCUGUUAAGUCAGAUGUGAAAGCCCGGGGCUUAACCUCGGAAUUGCAUUUGAAACUGGCAGGCUAGAGUCUUGUAGGAGGGGGUAGUAAUUUCAGGUGUAGCGGUAGAAAUGCGUAGAGAUCUGAAGGAAUACCAGUGGCGAAGGCGGCCCCCUGGACAAAGACUGACGCUCAGAUGCGAAAGCGUGGGGAGCAAACAGGAUUAGAUACCCUGGUAG
rnacentral:rRNA from 1 species